ensembl:lncRNA LINC00517 long intergenic non-protein coding RNA 517
AGAACAUCUGGAAGCUGGGGAAAACAUCAGAGCAAGUGAAGAAUGUUCAAAUAUACAGGGACCAUCCAGAGACAUGUGGCCUGCACGUUGAUGAGCAAUGUGAACUGAAUUACUGUUGUAUCUGGAGGAAUUCCAUAAAAGAGAGUAAUCAGUCUAUUUGGAUCCCAACUGCCUUUUCCUGUCCCCAAAGGGCGGGAACUAGUGUGGGUGGAAAAACCCAAUGCAUCCCAAGGCAGUCCUGCCUUCUAAAGCGCCCGCCAGGACAGGCUCCUGGUGGGUUGUAAGGAGAACGGCAGGAAGAAGUGCUCCCAGGAAGCUGCCUAGCCACCGCCACCACCACAGGGUUCCAUCCAACUGCCCACAGUUUUGCUGAACUAGGAAUUGUCCUGAGAACUUUCUUCCACAAUGGCUCAGCAGAUCUCCAUUUUAAACCGGCAGUCUGCAAACUCAGCCCUGAGGACACAGCCAGCCCGCUUCCAGGCAUCUCCUGCGAGCUGCUCCCAGGAAAGAACAGCAAAGCAACCUGGUCCAGUGUAGACAUGCUGUUCAAAUCAUCUGUGGUUGAAUGACUAUUUUUUUAAUUUAAUCUUUUGCAGACAUUUUUGGUAAAACAUUAUAUAAAUGAAUUACUAGAAAAAAAGAAAUACAAAAGUAAAAACAUAUGAAAUAUAAGCCCCAAUCUUUUGUUAUUAGAUUCAAUACACAUAGAAAUAAAUUUUAAUACAUACAAUCAAAACAAACAGCAUGGGAUAAAAUAAAAGAAUCCCAAAACCA